rnacentral:rRNA from 1 species
UACGUAGGCAGCGAGCGUUGUUCGGAGUUACUGGGCGUAAAGGGUGCGUAGGCGGUUGUUUAAGUUUGGUGUGAAAUCUCCCGGCUCAACUGGGAGGGUGCGCCGAAUACUGAAUGACUAGAGUGCGGGAGAGGAUAGUGGAAUUCCUGGUGUAGCGGUGAAAUGCGUAGAUAUCUGGAGGAACACCGGUGGCGAAGGCGGCCAUCUGGACGGAUACUGACGCUGAGACGCGAAAGCGUGGGGAGCAAACAGG